UACGGAGGGUGCAAGCGUUAUCCGGAUUCACUGGGUUUAAAGGGUGCGUAGGUGGGCUAGUAAGUCCGUGGUGAAAUCUCCAAGCUUAACUUGGAAACUGCCGUGGAUACUAUUAGUCUUGAAUAUUGUGGAGGUAAGCGGAAUAUGUCAUGUAGCGGUGAAAUGCUUAGAUAUGACAUAGAACACCGAUAGCGAAGGCAGCUUGCUACGCAAUCAUUGACACUGAGGCACGAAAGCGUGGGGAUCAAACAGG
rnacentral:rRNA from 1 species